UGGGGAAUAUUGCACAAUGGGCGCAAGCCUGAUGCAGCCAUGCCGCGUGUAUGAAGAAGGCCUUCGGGUUGUAAAGUACUUUCAGCGGGGAGGAAGGCGAUAAGGUUAAUAACCUUUUCUAUUGACGUUACCCGCAGAAGAAGCACCGGUUAACUCCGUGCCAGCAGCCGCGGUAAUACGGAGGGUGCAAGCGUUAAUCGGAAUUACUGGGCGUAAAGCGCACGCAGGCGGUCUGUCAAGUCGGAUGUGAAAUCCCCGGGCUCAACCUGGGAACUGCAUUCGAAACUGGCAGGCUAGAGUCUUGUAGAGGGGGGUAGAAUUCCAGGUGUAGCGGUGAAAUGCGUAGAGAUCUGGAGGAAUACCGGUGGCGAAGGCGGCCCCCUGGACAAAGACUGACGCUCAGGUGCGAAAGCGUGGGGAGCAAACA
rnacentral:rRNA from 1 species